rnacentral:tRNA from 1 species
GGCUUCACAGCUCAGUUGGUCGAGCAUCGCACCGGUAUCGCGGAGGUCAAUGGUUUGAAUCCUGUUGAAGCCC